rnacentral:rRNA from 1 species
GACAGAGGUGCCGAGCGUUAGGCGGAAUCACUGGGCUUAAAGCGUGUGUAGGCGGACUUCUAAGUACCUUGUGAAAUCCCACGGCUCAACCAUGGAACUGCUCGGUAUACUGCGAAUCUUGAGCCACUUAGGGGCUACCGGAACAAAUGGUGGAGCGGUGAAAUGCGUAGAUAUCAUUUGGAACGCCAAUGGUGAAAACAGGUAGCUGGGAGUGUGCUGACACUGAGACACGAAAGCCAGGGGAGCGAACGGG